rnacentral:rRNA from 1 species
AUUGAACGCUGGCGGCAUGCCUUACACAUGCAAGUCGAACGGCAGCACGGGUGCUUGCACCUGGUGGCGAGUGGCGAACGGGUGAGUAAUACAUCGGAACAUGUCCUGUAGUGGGGGAUAGCCCGGCGAAAGCCGGAUUAAUACCGCAUACGAUCUACGGAUGAAAGCGGGGGACCUUGGGGCCUCGCGCUAUAGGGUUGGCCGAUGGCUGAUUAGCUAGUUGGUGGGGUAAAGGCCUACCAAGGCGACGAUCAGUAGCUGGUCUGAGAGGACGACCAGCCACACUGGGACUUAGACACGGCCCAGACUCCUACGGGAGGCAGCAGUGGGGAAUUUUGGACAAUGGGCGAAAGCCUGAUCCAGCAAUGCCGCGUGUGUGAAGAAGGCCUUCGGGUUGUAAAGCACUUUUGUCCGGAAAGAAAUCCUUGGCCCUAAUACGGUCGGGGGAUGACGGUACCGGAAGAAUAAGCACCGGCUAACUACGUG